GGGAUGACGUCAAAUCAUCAUGCCCCUUAUGGGCAGGGCUACACACGUGCUACAAUGGCGUAAACAAAGGGAGGCAGAGCCGCGAGGCCGAGCAAAUCUCAAAAAUAACGUCUCAGUUCGGAUUGUAGUCUGCAACUCGACUACAUGAAGCUGGAAUCGCUAGUAAUCGCGAAUCAGAAUGUCGCGGUGAAUACGUUCCCGGGUCUUGUACACACCGCCCGUCACACCAUGGGAGUCAGUAACGCCCGAAGUCAGUGACCCAACCGCAAGGAGGGAGCUGCCGAAGGCGGGACCGAUAACUGGGGUGAAGUCGUAACAAGGUAGCCUCAGUC
rnacentral:rRNA from 1 species